UUUUUAAUUUGAAGAUGUAUUAUUCCUUUGGAUUGUGUUUUUUUUAUUCGUUAUCUGUAUUAUGUUUGAUUGUGUUCUUCUUCUUUGGUCUCAAGUGCGAGUGCUAUAGUUGUUUGACGUCACUUGGUCUCAAGCGCAAAUUUCUACUGAACUUUCAUCAGGUGAGAUUUUAGUGUUUGAUUGGAGUGCUUGACUCUUAAGUUGGAUUUUAGUAUUAGAUCUUUCAAAUGCUGGCUAACCUCAUCAGAUGUCUCAUUUAUUUUUGUUCUAACAAUCUUAGAUGAUCCUUUGUUUCAUAUUGGUUCAAAUUAAAAACUUGGGUAUGUAUUACUAAUUUUUUUAAGAAAUUGUCUUCCUUUGUUUAGUAUUAGCAUUAUUUACAAAUUAUUUUCAUUAUUUUAGACAUAUUGUUAAGAUGUAUAUUUAAUUUUUUACCUUAAGAUAUUUUUUUAUUUUUCAUUGGCAAUGACAGGAGCUCCCCACUGUUAUGUUGUUUGUUGAAUUUGAAAUUGAAAGAGAGAUGCGACUAACAUAUAUGGCGUGGUAAAAUUGGUUAACUUUUAACUUAUAAAAGCAAAAUUUUAUGACUCCACAACAAAUUAGAACCUACCAUUCAAGUUUUGAACAUUUAAUUUUUAGAACAACAAUAUGCAAGUGUAGGUUUGAUAUAUGUUUUUUACUCGACCAGAUUGAAUUGAAAUCUAUUUUUUUAUUGUUAUCUACUUAAAAACUAAGAAAACAAACUACUAGAGAUAUUACCAAAACACCUCAAUCUGACUAAACGUAAGAUUUAUGGUUUUCUUUGUUUCAUAAAUCUAUUUUUUCUAAUUUGUUGCUCUUGACUUUUUUGGGUCCUUUUUUUUUCUUCUUCUUCAGGAACUAUGAGUCAUGUUGAUGCUGGGAUAUGUUGUUACCGUUUGAAUUGUGCUAUUAUUAAAUGAUAAUAUUUAUAAGUUUUGUUUGUUUCUAAAAUCCAAUUUUUUAAUAUGUUGUUCUUGACUUUUUGGGCACUUCUUUUUCUUCUUCCUCAAGGACGUUUGCCACUACUAUUUUUAGAGUUGGAUAAGAAGAACUAAUAAGCCAGUCUAAUAAAAAUAACAAAGAAGAGGUUUUGAACCCAGAAAAAGAAAUAUUGUGAAACAAAAGUUACCCAAAAACAUGUAAGUUUCUAUUCUCAAUCUUAAGCUUUUACUCUCAAUCAUUAGUCCAAGUAUUUCUUCGACAUUAUACCAUAAUAAUGGCAAUGCUUCAGUUUUCUAUGUUACCUUUCUAAUUCUUCAUUUUCUUUCUCAUCUUCUUUUCUUUGGUGGGUUCUAUAAAACAACACUGUGUAAAUUAAGAUCGAAAGGGCCAAUUUAUAGUUAAGGGUAAAUACUUCCCUAUGACCAUCAAGAGGUAAAGUUUUUUCAUCCUGAAAGUAAUAGUUUACAUAUACAUUAUACUUUUUGGUAUUUUCUAAUGGUUGAUUCGGUUCAAUUCCCAGGUUAAAGAUUAUAUUAAUAUUUUUAGUCUGAGGAUUUGUGUUCGGUUGUUUUUUGGUGUUGGGUUUCUGAAAGAUGGGCAUGACUAACAAACUCACUCUUGCUUAAGAUGCACAUAAUUCAUUAAACAAUGCUUGAGACAUGGAUGCUAUAUUGGUGGUCAUGAAGUUGGUCAAACCAUUUAGCAGAAAGUUGGAUAUCAUAGUGUUUAAACUUUGGUAGGACAAUUGCUGACGAUACAAAUUAUCUCAUCUAUGCAUUUUUAUGGUAUGAAAAAUGUUGCUUUGGUUAUGUACCAACAAAUAGUUGGCACAAACGCACACUUAAUUGAAAUUAAAUUAAUUGUUCUGUCCACCAU